GGAUGUGGAGGUGAUCUGGCUGCAACAUCUGUCACCCCAUUGAUCACCAGAGUUGAUUCGGCUGAGCUGGCUGGCUACACAGGUGUCCCCUUCCUCCCUUACUGCUCUGUGUGCCUCCUUCCCGAAGCUUCGCACUCCGGCCCAAGAAGAUGACCUUCCCCAAAAGAAGAGGACUAUUCUACAGUCAAGGGUAUACAGGAGUAGCUGUGUUCCCCCCUACAAACAAGCUCUCAAGGUCCAUGAAAAAAAAAAAACAACCAAACAAAAAAACCCCACACACGAAAAAAAACCACUUUCUUGUUGGGAAUGAGGGUGUUC
rnacentral:snRNA from 1 species